rnacentral:tRNA from 1 species
GGAGGUGAAUCGGGGCUGGUGUCCUGCCUGGACUUCAAAUCCAGUGGGUCCCGACGGAAGUCGGGAUCGGUGGGUUCGAUUCCCAUGCACCUCCGCCA